UGUACUGUCUGUAGGCCCCCGAGGACCGAAUUGGAAAACACUGUUUUAGAAGAAUUACAUACUUGUGUCUGUCACAGGAACAGUGGCACAGUGUACGAUUGUGUAUGUGACAAAAUAAAACUUGAAGCCUGAAAAUGCCUAAUGAACUCUGCAAGCACAGAGAAGUCAAAGACCUGCUAAAAGGUUUACACACGCUGAGAAUGCAGCAUGUUCUCCUGAAGCAGUGCAGAUCUUGCAGCGUGUGUCAUGCUAAAUAAUGAGGCUGUCAUUCAAAGCACCAUUCCGUAUAUCAGUUGGAGAAAUAGAUGAUGCCACUCUGGCUGUUUACAUUCCAACGUAUGGCUACACGGCGUUUCUGGAUGGAAAGACACAGAAGAGGUGAAGUUAAUCUAACACGAGUGUCUUUAUUUGAAAAACUUAGAAGACAGACGGCCACAAAAAUCAACACAAAGAUCAAGACUCUACAAAGGAAUAUUCUAUGCAUUCAACAAAGAUGCAUCUAAGACAAAAUAAAAGGGCCUUGAAAAUGACAAAAAAUAUGUAAGGUGAUUAAUCGUAAAUUCGUAAUGCACGUAGAGCCGCAGAGCGAUGUAAUGUAUGUGUAUGGCUGAUACCCAGUAAAAAUCUGCGUUACCUGAACGUUGGUAUUUUGUAGUGAUUAUCAUGUUGUGAAAGUGCACAAACACAAC